UCCCGAAUCGUUCAACGGCAGGACACCAGAUUCUGGUUCUGGGAAUCUAGGUUCGAAUCCUAGUUCGGGAACCA
rnacentral:tRNA from 1 species